AAACGACUCUCGGCAACGGAUAUCUGGGCUCUCGCAUCGAUGAAGAACGUAGCAAAAUGCGAUACUUGGUGUGAAUUGCAGAAUCCCGUGAACCAUCGAGUUUUUGAACGCAAGUUGCGCCCGAAGCCAUUAGGCUGAGGGCACGUCUGCCUGGGCGUCUCAUA
rnacentral:rRNA from 1 species